rnacentral:rRNA from 1 species
GAUGAACGCUGGCGGCGUGCCUAAUACAUGCAAGUAGAACGCUGAAGGAGGAGCUUGCUCUUCUGGAUGAGUUGCGAACGGGUGAGUAACGCGUAGGUAACCUGCCUGGUAGCGGGGGAUAACUAUUGGAAACGAUAGCUAAUACCGCAUGACAACAGUUAUUGCAUGAUAACUGUUUAAAAGGGGCAACUGCUCCACUACCAGAUGGACCUGCGUUGUAUUAGCUAGUUGGUGAGGUAACGGCUCACCAAGGCGACGAUACAUAGCCGACCUGAGAGGGGGAUCGGCCACACUGGGACUGAGACACGGCCCAGACGCCUACGGGAGGCAGCAGUAGGGAAUCUUCGGCAAUGGACGGAAGUCUGACCGAACAACGCCGCGUGAGUGAAGAAGGUUUUCGGAUCGUAAAGCCCGGUUGUAAGAGAAGAACGAGUGUGAGAGUGGAAAGUUCACACUGUGACGGUAUCUUACCAGAAAGGGACGGCUAACUACGUG